rnacentral:sRNA from 1 species
GCUGGGUGUGGUGGUGCGUACCUGUAAUCCCAGCAACUCGGGAGGUUAAGACAGGAGGAUUGAAAGUUUGAGGCCAGCCUAAGUAACUCAGCAAGACCUUGUCUCAA